ACGGGAGGCAGCAGUGGGGAAUAUUGCACAAUGGGGGAAACCCUGAUGCAGCGACGCCGCGUGAGUGAAGAAGUAUCUCGGUAUGUAAAGCUCUAUCAGCAGGGAAGAAAAUGACGGUACCUGACUAAGAAGCCCCGGCUAACUACGUGCCAGCAGCCGCGGUAGUACGUAGGGGGCAAGCGUUAUCCGGAUUUACUGGGUGUAAAGGGAGCGUAGACGGUUUGGCAAGUCUGAAGUGAAAUGCGGGGGCUCAACUCCUGAACUGCUUUGGAAACUGUCGAACUAGAGUGCAGGAGAGGUAAGUGGAAUUCCUAGUGUAGCGGUGAAAUGCGUAGAUAUUAGGAGGAACAUCAGUGGCGAAGGCGGCUUACUGGGCUUUAACUGACGCUGAGGCUCGAAAGCGUGGGGAGCAAACAGGAUUAGAUACCCUGGUA
rnacentral:rRNA from 1 species